rnacentral:rRNA from 1 species
GCGAAAGAGGGGUGAGAAUCCCCUCCACCGAAUGCCUAAGGUUUCCUGAGGAAGGCUCGUCCGCUCAGGGUUAGUCGGGACCUAAGCCGAGGCCGAAAGGCGUAGGCGAUGGCCAACAGGUUGAAAUUCCUGUACCACCUCCUCACCAUUUGAGCAAUGGGGGGACGCAGAAGGAUAGGGUAAGCGCGCUGUUGGAUUAGCGCGUCCAAGCAGUUAGGCUGACAAUGAGGCAAAUCCCAUUGUCAUUAAGGCUGAGC